ensembl:lncRNA
CACAACUGUACAUCCUCCUGGGAAGCCGGAAAGGAGGAGGACUUGGAGCAGCAGGGCGUGGAUCUUAGCAGAGUGGAGCGGAGAUGGGAGAGGAAAUGUCUUCCCGUCAUUGUUCUGAUGGAAGAUGGGGAAGGUUGCCCGUGGCUCAGCAGGUAGACGUCAUUAACAGGGAGAGAAGUCCCCACCAGAGCUCGCCAACGGCCAAGUGUUACUCAUUCACCCGGCAAGAGUUCUGACAGGAGAGUCCAGUACACAGAUUGCGUUGUCCCUAUAGCAGCACAGAGAAAACCUAGAGACUCCUGGAGAAGGAAGAUGCACAAUGAGAUGGCCCUCCUCCAAAGGCUGGGGAUGAGAGUAGCACUACCUGUCAUUUUCAAUCCCUCAGAAAUGUGCAGAGGAACACAAAACGUGGGAAACUCAGGUGCAUUCGAAACAAAUGCCCAGAAAACAUUUGUUGCAGGUAACUAAAGUCAUGUGAUGUUUUUGUAACCAUGAAGAAUUAUUAUUACAGUGUGGGUACCCCCAAAUUUUAAGUCUUCUCUGUUCACAAGACAGCUGCUUCCUGACAAAUAACCUGCGACAAUUUCAUAACACGGAGUUCGGAAACCUCAUUAGACCACACGCGUGGUGCAGCUGAAGCCCUCAGUGGUUUCCGAGGGUUUGUGAAAAUGUAAUUAGGCAAACCACAGGUGUCUGCAAAUGUGGUGUUUUUGCUCCAGACGGGUGGGUGGCAUCUCGGGGGUGCCCCAGAAUUUUCACAGGGACGAAUCACUCUCAGUGUCAGCAACGUGAACAGACACCUAAGAUGGUCUUUUUGCUCUUGCAGGAGAAAGGACUGCCAAGCAGAUGGAUUAAAGGAUGAAUGAAUGCCGGCUUUGGUUGUGUCCCUGUGUGUGGCAGCAAACGCUGAUGGGAGCUGAGACACUAUUUAUGCUAUAGAAUUGGACCAGUUGUGGUCACUGACUCCUGGGCCCUUGCAGGAAAUUUCUGUAGGACUGGCUAUAGGAUCUAAGCAGAAAAUACCAUCUCACCCCUGCUAGAGGUUAUUCCCAGUGCUCCUCCCUAAAAACAACCUGUUGGCCAUUCUGAUGGCAUCGGUAGUGAGGUCUCUGAUGUAUGUUCCAUCUACUAGCUGGUGAGGCU